UACAGAGGUGGCAAGCGUUGUUCGGAAUUACUGGGCGUAAAGGGCGCGUAGGCGGCCUUCUAAGUCAGACGUGAAAUCCCCCGGCUUAACCUGGGAACUGCGUCUGAUACUGGGAGGCUUGAGUAUGGGAGAGGGAUGUAGAAUUCCAGGUGUAGCGGUGAAAUGCGCAGAUAUCAGGAGGAACACCGGUGGCGAAGGCGGGUCUCUGGGCCGAUACUGACGCUGAGGAGCGAAAGCGUGGGGAGCGAACAGG
rnacentral:rRNA from 1 species